AGUCUAGUAGUGAAGUUCACAUAGGAUUGCAAAUCCUUAAAAUGCAAUAGUAGGUCUAUGCCUAGGCUU
rnacentral:tRNA from 1 species